rnacentral:lncRNA from 1 species
GGCAGAGAAGCUGGGUUUGCCACGGGUAAUGACUAGGCACCGAUGAAGCAUCGGGGAUGGGCUUUAAGGUAGUGGGUCGAGAGGGUUAGGGUUAAGGGAGAGAGAGAAGAUAGAGAAAAGAGAAGGGAAAAAUAGUAGGGGGAAUUUGUCUGAGUCGAUUAUAUAAUUAAAUUUAUUGACGGAUAAAGCCAUCGGUAAGGGUUUUUUUUCAUUAUUAUUGAGGGAAGGGGGAUUCGAACCUUGCUCUUUAGGCAAGGGGAUCAUGCACCAACCAAUGAGCCAAAU